AACGAACGCUGGCGGCAGGCUUAACACAUGCAAGUCGAACGCCCUCUUCGGAGGGAGUGGCAGACGGGUGAGUAACGCGUGGGAACCUACCUUUAGGUACGGAAUAACAGUUAGAAAUGACUGCUAAUACCGUAUGUGCCCGAGAGGGGAAAGAUUUAUCGCCUAUAGAUGGGCCCGCGUUGGAUUAGCUAGUUGGUGAGGUAACGGCUCACCAAGGCGACGAUCCAUAGCUGGUUUGAGAGGAUGAUCAGCCACACUGGGACUGAGACACGGCCCAGACUCCUACGGGAGGCAGCAGUGGGGAAUUUUCCGCAAUGGGCGAAAGCCUGACGGAGCAAGACCGCGUGGGGGAGGAAGGUUUUUGGAUCGUAAACCCCUUUUGU
rnacentral:rRNA from 1 species